rnacentral:rRNA from 1 species
GUUAAGCGACUAAGCGUACACGGUGGAUGCCCUGGCAGUCAGAGGCGAUGAAGGACGUGCUAAUCUGCGAUAAGCGUCGGUAAGGUGAUAUGAACCGUUAUAACCGGCGAUUUCCGAAUGGGGAAACCCAGUGUGUUUCGACACACUAUCAUUAACUGAAUCCAUAGGUUAAUGAGGCGAACCGGGGGAACUGAAACAUCUAAGUACCCCGAGGAAAAGAAAUCAACCGAGAUUCCCCCAGUAGCGGCGAGCGAACGGGGAGCAGCCCAGAGCCUGAAUCAGUGUGUGUGUUAGUGGAAGCGUCUGGAAAGGCGCGCGAUACAGGGUGACAGCCCCGUACACAAAAAUGCACAUGCUGUGAGCUCGAUGAGUAGGGCGGGACACGUGGUAUCCUGUCUGAAUAUGGGGGGACCAUCCUCCAAGGCUAAAUACUCCUGACUGACCGAUAGUGAACCAGUACCGUGAGGGAAAGGCGAAAAGAACCCCGGCGAGGGGAGUGAAAAAGAACCUGAAACCGUGUACGUACAAGCAGUGGGAGCACGCUUAGGCGUGUGACUGCGUACCUUUUGUAUAAUGGGUCAGCGACUUAUAUUCUGUAGCAAGGUUAACCGAAUAGGGGAGCCGAAGGGAAACCGAGUCUUAACUGGGCGUUAAGUUGCAGGGUAUAGACCCGAAACCCGGUGAUCUAGCCAUGGGCAGGUUGAAGGUUGGGUAACACUAACUGGAGGACCGAACCGACUAAUGUUGAAAAAUUAGCGGAUGACUUGUGGCUGGGGGUGAAAGGCCAAUCAAACCGGGAGAUAGCUGGUUCUCCCCGAAAGCUAUUUAGGUAGCGCCUCGUGAAUUCAUCUCCGGGGGUAGAGCACUGUUUCGGCAAGGGGGUCAUCCCGACUUACCAACCCGAUGCAAACUGCGAAUACCGGAGAAUGUUAUCACGGGAGACACACGGCGGGUGCUAACGUCCGUCGUGAAGAGGGAAACAACCCAGACCGCCAGCUAAGGUCCCAAAGUCAUGGUUAAGUGGGAAACGAUGUGGGAAGGCCCAGACAGCCAGGAUGUUGGCUUAGAAGCAGCCAUCAUUUAAAGAAAGCGUAAUAGCUCACUGGUCGAGUCGGCCUGCGCGGAAGAUGUAACGGGGCUAAACCAUGCACCGAAGCUGCGGCAGCGACGCUUAUGCGUUGUUGGGUAGGGGAGCGUUCUGUAAGCCUGUGAAGGUGUGCUGUGAGG